rnacentral:tRNA from 1 species
GGAGAGAUGGCUCAGUGGUUAAGAGCACUGACUGCUCUUCCAGAGGUCCUGAGUUCAAUUCCCAGCAUCCACA